CAAGAUAAAGGUGAGGUUGUGUGUGGUAUUGGUUGUGAAGGGGAAGAUGUGCAGUAUGUAAUAUGUCCUACAGGGUGGAGUAGUUGUAAGCUUAGGAAGGGCAAGGAGAGUACAGGUGUAUUAGGAGGGUUUAGCAGGGGAAAGACUAGGUGUAGGAGGGUAAGUGGUAAAGCUAAGAGGGAGAAGUUGUCAGUACCAACUAGGCUAGAGGUUAGAAUGUUGUAUAGUGGGCCCCUUAAUCCCUCAGGGUGGGUGGAAAAGGUUAAACAGGUAGGUACUAGUACCUGUAAGAGUAGUGAGGAGGGGGGGAAUGAGUGUAAUAUUGUUGCCUGUGAGUCUAGUAAGUCUAGUAAGGAUGGAGUAGAAGAUGUAAAUGAUAGUGACGUCUGUGAGUCUAGUAAGGAUGGGGUAGAAGAUGUGAGUGAUAGUGAUGUCUGUGAGUCUAGUAAGGAUGGGGUAGAAUAUGUGAGUGAUUGUGAUGUCUGUGAGUCUAGUAAGGAUGGAGUAGAAGAUGUAAGUGAUAGUGACGUCUGUGAGUCUAGUGAGGAUGGGGUAGAAGAUGUGAGUGAUAGUGAUGUCUGUGAGUCUAGUAAGGAUGGGGUAGAAUAUGUGAGUGAUUGUGAUGUCUGUGAGUCUAGUAAGGAUGGAGUAGAAGAUGUAAGUGAUAGUGAUGUCUGUGAGUCUAGUAAGGAUGGGGUAGAAGAUGUAAGUGAUAGUGAUGUCUGUGAGUCUAGUAAGGAUGGGGUAGAAGAUGUGAGUGAUAGUGAUGUCUGUGAGUCUAGUAAGGAUGGGGUAGAAUAUGUGAGUGAUUGUGAUGUCUGUGAGUCUAGUAAGGAUGGGGUAGAAGAUGUAAGUGAUAGUGAUGUCUGUGAGUCCAGUACUGAUAGUGAUUACUGUAAAACUUUCUUUGUCAGUUUUGAAGGUAAGUUAUUUACUCUUGGGACACCUAGCAAAUGUAUUCAGGUGUGUAAGUUACAAAAGAUGGUAAGUAAUGUAUGUGGAUUCAACAUUUCAUGUAGAAACCUUAGUUUGGGGGGCAGUAUUCUCUAUGAUGAAAAUGAUAUUGUAGAAGUACAUGAUAAGACUGUGAUAGUGACACUUUUUGGUUGUGGGGGAGGUAAACCUAUUAAUUUUCAUCCAGACAGGCCAUGUUCCUCAGCAUGUGCCCAUUGUAAGAAGCCAUCUGUUUUUCAAUUUGAUAAGUAUACACAUCCACAGGGAUGGAAUGAAUCACUUAGAACUUGGGUAAUCGAUAAUACAGGACUUUCUAGUACAGACUGUGUGUGUCAUUCAUGUGAGCGUAAGUUUCGACGGCUGGCCAAAGAUUCAGUUUCAGAAAUAUCAAAUUCUUCCAUUGACACUCCUGAUGCAACAUUGCCACAAAAACCAUGUUUCAUGUCUGAGUUUCAUUUAUGCCACGAAUUGUCCAACCAUGAGCGUAAAAAUUUCUCAGUUGAUGACAUAAUGUCUUACAUUCUCUCCAUUUCUGACGCAGCUACAGGAUGUAGUUCCUUGCCGAAUUCUAUUCAUAUGUGCACAUUUCAUUAUCAUCAGUUUUGUAGAUUUAAUGAACAAGAUAAAUGUACCCAUUGCUGCAAGGUAAUAAAGUCACAUAAAAGGAAACGGUUCUGUCCAAAAUUGAAUAUUCCACAAUCAGCUUUAAAAUUGGUUGACUCAAAUUUGUUAGAAGGGUCUAUUUUGUGCAACUAUUGUUAUCAAUGUUUAUAUAGAUCAGGGAAUCUUGUCAAGGGUGAGGAAAGUCUAGAAAAACGCUUAGAAAUGUUGAGGAAUUUUGAAGUAGAACAUAGCCUAGAAAACAUACCACAAAUAGCUUUGCAUCAGGUUUCUUGUAAGGUAGGUGAAUUGUUUCUGGAGAAUAAAUCUUUACUACUUGUUGAUGCUUAUGACUGUUAUGUAGAGAGUAUUCAGACACUUAUUAAGGAAUUUGACAAGAAGGAACAAAUUGAUGAAGCUGAUGCUUUCUAUUUUCAAGCCAGAUGGCUAUUAGUUGGGUUAUUGAGUGAUCUGGGAAACUUUCUUUUAAUCCACAAAAGUUCAAGCAAAAGUAACAAACUAAGUUUUUUGUUAUACUAUAAAGAUGCUGAUUUAAUUGAAUCCCUUCAUUUAGCUUUAUAUUCUGCACGGUUAAACACUUACAAGCGGGAUCUUGAGUUAAAGUCUAUUCAGUCCAACAUCGCUUCUAUGUUCACAGAUGUAAACCAAGACACAAUCAAUUCUUCUCUUUUAUCUUCUUUAAUGUACAUGAAUAGUUUAGUUCAUCAAGAAUCUUCCAAAUUCAUUGAUAAGUUUGUUCAGUGUCCAACUUCCCUCCAUGAAAUUGACAUGUUGCAAAUUUCAAAAGAAAUAAACCCUAUUGUUUGGAACUUUAUUGUUGUAUUAACUAUGCAAAAGUCUGAAAUUCUUACGUCUGAUUUUGAAACAUUUGAUAUGAAUAAACAUUAUUUAACAUUUCUUAAGGAUAAUUCUAGCCAUAGUUCUUCCAAGUUUUUGAGACGUCUUUUUGCUACUUUCCUUAUCUUAUUUAUUGUCUCUGACGGUCAGUGUAGUUAUCCUUUUCACAUGAUUAAUUCAGAAUUGAUUCAUUCUUAUAGCCAGUCUACUGAUCUUAUGCAAUUGUUAAAUCGCCUUGGUGUAUGUUGUUCCAAUGAUUCUCAUAAAAGAUUUAUUUCUGGAAUGUUAGAUCAAUUGAAAUUGGAAGAUAAUCAUUAUAAUUUGACAGAAGGUUCUUUUACUGUAGCUUCUAUAGACAACAUCAAUAGUGGUAGUCCCCAUGCAGCUGUGACAGGUAGUCCGAGAGGGUGGAACGGUACAUCUAUUCAAGCCGUCCAACCCAAACCUAAAUCCCUUCUUAUUCCCAAGCCAAAUUCAUCUGUACAUAGUAGUGAAGAUAUCUCUGUAGGUAUAGGUAAUGUUACUGAAACUGAUGAGCCAGUAUCAAAGAAAAUCAAAUUAGUUUCAAAGUUUAGGCAAAGAAAAAGGUCACCAAAGGAAAUUGAUCAUAGUACUUUAUCCCUUACACCCCCAUCUUGUGUUCAGUCUAUAGUCCCUUCCACUCCAAUAUCCCUGACCUUCGAACAGUUUGGAAUAUCUGAAGAAGAAAUGAAAGAGUCUCAUAAAUUUAAUUCUGAAGUAUUACUUUAUCAACUUGAAAGAUGUAUAUCAGAUUUGACAGAUUCUUCUCAUAAAUUACCCAGUUUGAAAUGUAAACUAUUUUUAGAAAGGGACCCUGUCACAGAAAAGUCUAACAUUGCAUAUCUAUCUAUAAUGAAUGAAAAUGCUGACUGUAAGGAGACAAUGUUAAAAGCCCUUAAUUUCCUUCACACUUCAUUUAAUGUUGGCGUUGAUAUUGAAUAUUUAGUUGUUGUUGGGGAUGCAAAAACUUAUGACCACCUUCUCAAAUUAAAACAGGAGUAUGGCCCCGCUUUAAGUUGGUUGAUUAUUUUUCCGGGUGAUUGGCAUACAUUGAAAAAUUACCAGAAUGCAUUAAUGAAAGUUUAUUGGGAGGGAGGGUUGAAACAGAUCGCUUCAGGUAGAAUAAAAGGACAGACUUUACUUUCAGUUGGUUUAUGUAAACAUUUUAAGCGCACUCAUAAAUUUUUGCUUCAAGUAUGGGAGGCCUUAUACAGAUGUGAAAUUGAAGCUUUUCUAGAGUAUAGAAGGAAUAGUACUGACACUACUGAUCAAUGUUCAUCAAGUUGUUCUUUUUCAGCCCAGAAUAUUGUUGAUAAGGUAAGGGUAUUUUUAGAAUCAGUACCGCACUUUAGUGACCCAGGUUUUGAUAGUGACAACUUUGUAAGAAGACAGGAAUUAUUGAAAAUGGAAUUAGAAGGUAUAGAAGAUGACUUCAAGGAGUUUUGUUCCACAGCAUUUGCCCGGGAUGAAGUAUUUUUGUUUUGGCACAGAUUUGUUCAUGAUGACUUUAUGGCAUAUAUUUCUCUUUUCAUAGCAAUUAGAUCAGGGAAUUGGAAUUUGCGUUUGUAUUCAUACAAAAUGAUGGCACCCCUUUUCCAUGCCUUUGACCAUGUAAUAUAUUCUAGAAUCAUUCCCUUGCAUCUUUGUGAUAUAUUGUCUUGUCCUGACCAUAUUCUCAGAUAUUUCCAAGAGGGGGGAUUUGUUACCAGUAUUAAUUCUGUUAAUUAUUCUAAUGUAGCUUUAGAUGAGAGUCAUGAAAUGUUGAUAAAUAGGGACACAAAAGAAGUUAUUACAGGGCCUAACAAAUUUGUAAUUGAAGAUCUUGUUCUGUUUUUACCAUAUCGAGCUAAAUUGAUUAAACAAGUUAAAAAACAAAUUCUUGUCAAAACAAAUUGUAGAACUCAAACUGAUCUUAGUCCGACUAUCAUUGAACAAGAAAGGCUGAAUAUUGUUUAUUAUGCAAAAAAAGUUGUAGAUGCCGGCAUUUUUUCUGCCCUUGUACAUGAUAGAUGUCUGUCCCAACCAUUUACAGGAGCUUCUAUUUCAGAUAUUCAAAGAGAAGACUUGCUUAAGUUUAGGGAAAUAGGUAAGGCAUCUUUAGACACAUUCAUUAGGUUCAGGAUACUUAACAAUCCAAGUAAUAUAGCACCCCAGAGACGAAAGUCUUUAAGAACUUUUUCUCAAAUUAAAAUGACAAAGUCUAGGGUUUCCAAAAGUGAAAAAGACAAAAAGUUAGUUUUAGAAUGUUAUCGUAGAGUUGUUUCCUGGUCCCAAAAUCAAAAUAAGCCCCUGUCUGAAAUUGCCCACCUGUUAGAUUUGCCCCAGCUAGGUCAGUUUCUGGAGCUGCCUCGUGCUUUAUGUAAUGCUGAUGGAGUCCCUCACAAGGGGGCUAAAUCAGCAACCACUUCUUUUUUCCAGUCUAGAUACCCUAGUUCUUUCACCAAAAUGUACCCUACCAAUUUCUCUCCCCAGUGCUCUGUUUUAGAAGGCAUGUUUUUGAUCAAUACAUCUCCAUUAGGUCAGCAUAGAACUUUUCUUGAGUAUUCACAUUUUCUGUUUCUAAAAUGGGUUUUGCCUUUUCUUCAGUCAGGUUGUUAUGAAGUCCAUAUUGUUUUUGAUGACCCCCACCGAAAUGGCCCUAGUCCUAAAGAUGUUGAAAGAAAUAGAAGAGAUUCUGUUUUGGAAAAUGACAAUUUAACACUACUUGAUUCAAUUUCUGAUGAUACAUGCACCCCAAAAGACUGGAGAAAAUUCAUUUCCUUGCGUCCAAACAAACGUUUGUUAUGUUCUUACUUAUGUACUUCUUUACUUACAAUUUGUACACCUUUUUUGAGGCAGCAACAGAAAGUGUUCACAGCUGGGGCAUUUACUGAUGAUAAGACAGAUAUGUGUUUUGUUUCUUCAUUAGAUGGCAUAUCUCCAUAUCCAGACUGUAGGUCCAAUCACGAGGAAAGUGACACUCGUGUUUGGCUGCAUGCUGCUUCAAGCAGUUACAAAAACAUAAUGAUUUAUUCACCUGAUACGGACACGUAUCACGUGGGCCUUCCUUUUGUGGGGGAUUCAGGUAAAAGAAUUGUCAUUUUACAAAAAGCUGAACCAGGAAAUUGGCAAUGUCUGGAUGUGAAUGAGUUGCUAUCUUGUUUUGACAAGGACCCUGAUCUUUCCUCCCUUUCUAGAUAUCUACUACCCCAUAUAAUUCAGUCACUGUUUAUCUGUACAGGUUGUGAUUAUGUUUCCUUUUUUGUUGGCCUUGGUAAGGUAUCAUUUUUGAAAACUUUCUUUCAGUAUUCAGAAUUCAUUUCUAGUGGCAACUCUGACCAAACUAGUGGUUCUCUUUCUUGUGCAGAUAAAGAUACAGGGUUCUUGGCUUUUGUUCGUUUAGUUGGUAGUGUUUACUUUCAAAAACACCGUUCUGCUUUUCUUAAGUACUCAUCUCCAGUCCAACUUUUCAGAGAAAUGAGGGGGGAUAAUAUUUUAAAGAUUCACGAAAACUGGUUACAAGUUAUUAGGGGUGCCAUCUUUGAAAGAAUAGAGUUUGAAGAUAAUAGUUUACCUUCCUUUCAGUCCCUUUGGUUUCAUUGGUUACGUUCUUGUUGGGUUUACCUCACUUGGGCUCAGGCUUUAGAGCAGGAUUUUUCGUCUGUAUUAUUAGAUAGGUACGGUUGGGAAAUAGAUAAUCAUGGUAAUUUAAUGAUUACUUGGGAUUCUAAAGAAAAUAUUGAAAAGGUGCAGAAGACUGUAGAGUUUUUAACCAGGGGGUGUAAAUGUAAAAGUGGGUGCUCUAGUAAAAGAUGUAAGUGUCUAAAGAAAGGUCAGGUAUGUGGUCCGGGAUGUAGGUGUUUAGAUUGUUCUAAUACUAUUUGUAUUGUGCAAAAUCAGGUAAGUCUGGACAAUGUGGAAACAGAUUCAGAUAGUAGUAGCAGUAGUGAUGAUCAAGACUAUGUAAAUCUUAUAGAUGACUUUUAUUGUGGUAGUCUGUCUUUAUUAGAUCAUAUUUCUGAUUCAGAAUUUUCUGAGGUAGAGUAAGGGUAAUAAUGAGUGAAAUAGGACUGUCUAUUGUAUAGCCUAGGUAUAGGUGAGGGGAAGCUGGUCUUUUCUGUACUCCUUCACCCCCUUUCUCUCCCUCUCUCCUUUUUCCAAAGAACCCCUUCCUGCUAGGUUUAGACAUCUGCCCCCCGUAGGUAGGUUAGAGGCGCCUGACCCCUGUAAAGGUCGUACUUAACGACGUCAACAUGGGGUACAUCACACAGAUCCCCGAGUUGACGGGAAAGGCGUAACCCCGCACUUUGGUACGGGUGCAGGUUGGAGGUUCUGACUUUCAUUUCCUUACUCCAGCUGUCCCUCACCUAUGGGUUUGGUAGUCUAGGGUCAUUGCUAAACAUAUGAUCUUAAAAUUUAGAUAUAACGUUAAUAUAUUCUUAGUCUAUGAAAUAUCUUGAUAAAAUAUAAUAUAUUUAACAUAUAUCUAAAUAAAGAUACUAAGAGGAGUAACCGGAAGUGAAUGAAUGUGAGUGCCUGACUGAGUGUAUGAUAUCUGUAAUUGAUGAGUAAGUAAGUACGGUAAGUACCUGAUGUAUGACGAAUGGAUAUUUACCUUUUUUGUUUGUUUUGCAUUAGAUGGAGUUCUACCCCAGAUCAGCUGAGGAUGUGCCUCUUCCAGCUCAACUGUGAUGUUCUGCUGUGGAUCUGAGGAGGGUGACAGCUUUGUUGGUUAUUCAUAUCAUUUGGCUUGAAUUCAAUCAUAUCAUUUCACAUUAUUGGAAUUAUCAUUCUGGCCCAAAGAAUCGCCAGAUGUUUGGCAGUAGAUUAUUUGAUUCCAAGUAUUGUUUCCAAUUGGGCAUCAAUAUUUAGGCAUGACUUGUUUGUUUAAUAAAGUUUGGCUGGUAUUUAACAUA